rnacentral:rRNA from 1 species
UACGGGGGGGGCAAGCGUUGUUCGGAAUUACUGGGCGUAAAGGGCUCGUAGGUGGCCAACUAAGUCAUACGUGAAAUCCCUCGGCUUAACCGGGGAACUGCGUCUGAUACUGGAUGGCUUGAGUUUGGGAGAGGGAGCGGAAUUCCAGGUGUAGCGGUGAAGUCGUAGAUAUCUGGAGGAACACCGGUGCGGAAGGCGCCC